UUGGUGGGUUUGUGCACCGGCGAGAAUUGCGCGGCACUAGAGAGGCUAGCAAUGGUGAAAGGUGAAAGUGCAUAUAUACCAUGGACUCACAUUAGUCAUGAAGAACUCACAUACUUUUUGCGAAAGUUUUUAUUAGUAAUCGAAACAAAGUGCUAAACGCAUACUCCGAGGGGAAGGGUUGGUAGGUGUAAACCAUCGCGUGAUCCCAACCUCAACACAAAGGAUGACAAUCAAUAGAUCAAUUAUGCUCUGACUUCCUAACAUGGCGGUUCACCAUACGUGCAUGCUACGUGAAUCACUAACUUCAACACAAGUAUUUCUAGAUUCACAACACCCUACUAACAUAACUCUCAAUAUUACCGAAUCCACGUCUCAAAACUAAUUGAGAGGAAUGAAAACUUCUCUUUCUACUCAAUGCACAUGAAGAUGGAGGUUUUUGCAUCCUCUUUGGGUACCUAGCACAUUUGGGACUUCUUUCAUAGCAUAAGCCAACUACGAAGUCAUGCAC
rnacentral:lncRNA from 1 species